GAUGAACGCUGGCGGCGUGCUUAACACAUGCAAGUCGAGCGAUGAAGUUUCCUUCGGGAAACGGAUUAGCGGCGGACGGGUGAGUAACACGUGGGUAACCUGCCUCAUAGAGUGGAAUAGCCUUCCGAAAGGAAGAUUAAUACCGCAUAACGUUGAAAGAUGGCAUCAUCAUUCAACCAAAGGAGUAAUCCGCUAUGAGAUGGACCCGCGGCGCAUUAGCUAGUUGGUGGGGUAACGGCCUACCAAGGCGACGAUGCGUAGCCGACCUGAGAGGGUGAUCGGCCACAUUGGGACUGAGACACGGCCCAGACUCCUACGGGAGGCAGCAGUGGGGAAUAUUGCACAAUGGGGGGAACCCUGAUGCAGCAACGCCGCGUGAGUGAUGAAGGUUUUCGGAUCGUAAAGCUCUGUCUUUGGGGAAGAUAAUGACGGUACCCAAGGAGGAAGCCACGGCUAACUACGUGCCAGCAGCCGCGGUAAGAC
rnacentral:rRNA from 1 species